rnacentral:tRNA from 1 species
GGGGAUUUAGCUCAGUGGUAGAGCGCUUGCCUAGCAAGCACAAGGCCCUGUGUUCGAUCCCCAGCUCCG